rnacentral:rRNA from 1 species
GGCGAAGGAUGCAAGCGUUAUCCGGAUUCAUUGGGUUUAAAGGGAGCGUAGGUGGCCUUAUAAGUCAGUGGUGAAAUCUCUGGGCUUAACCCAGAAAUUGCCAUUGAUACUGUUGGGCUUGAGUAUAGUUGCCGUUGGCGGAAUAUGACAUGUAGUGGUGAAAUACAUAGAGAUGUCAUAGAACACCGAUUGCGAAGGCAGCUGACGAAACUAUAACUGACACUGAGGCUCGAAAGUGCGGGGAUCAAACAGG